CUCAGCAGCUGGGGCUGAGGUAGUGUUGUGGUAGUCCAGUUGGAGAGUCGGUUGAAAGAAAAAUUUCCAGGGGCAGAGUAUUACAGAAAGUGAAUUUACUAAGAAAAAAGAGCAAAAAUAAUGUAGGGACUGGGAGUACAGUGGGCCAACCUCCUGACAGGUCAGAGAGUCGACUGUUAGAACAGCCGGUGAGCUCAAGGGAGAACCAAUGCUUUACGUGGGCUAGUAGCCAAUUUUUAUAGCCUCUAAACAAAGGAAAUUCCUGCUGGAAGGAUGGCAUCAUCAUUGGUGAUUGGUCAGGGUGCUAUAGCGUGAGUACUAGAGUGGGUAUUUUUGCCUAAUAGGGGUAAGGGAGCUGGCCAGUAAGAAGCAGGGAGGUUUUGUCAAUGGUUACAAUAGGACUUGUGGGAUUUAUCCCUGGGUUGGGAAGAUACCCUGGAGUAGGAAAUGGCAAUCCAUUCCAGUAUUCUUGCCUAUAAAAUUCCAUGGACAGAGGAGCCUGAUGGGCUACAGUCCAAGGGGUCGCAAAGAGUCAGACAGCAGUAAGUUAAUGAGCACCCACAUACACGCAGUGGGGCUCAGUCACGUCCAGAGGUGGCCUUAGUUCUAGGCUCUGCGUCUGUGGCCUUAGUACAAGACCUCACACCUGUAACCUUCAUAUGGGACUCCACAGUUGUAAAAACAAGCAAAGAAGAAAGUCCCCUUUGGCCUGUGAGGAAGUGCUCUAACGUGACCUGUGUUUUGUGCUGUCGCCUGCUGAGAUGGGGUGCUCUGUCUGGCAGUUUCUGCACCUGCUGGAGCCAAAAGAUACUUGGAUUGUUAGCUCUAUGUAGCUUUAGAAUGGACUUCCCUGGUGACUCAGACUAAGGAAUCUGCCUGCAAUGUGGGAGACCCGAGUUUGACCCCUGGGUUGGGAAGAACACCUGGAAAAGGAAAUGGCUACCAACAUCAGUAUUUUUGCCUGGAGAAUUCCAUGGACAGAAGAGUCUGGAAGGCCACAGUCCUUGGGGUCACAAAAAGCCAGACAGGACUAGGUGAUUAACACACAGUCUAAGUAUAGGAAGAACAGGCAUCCUUCCCUCUUCCCAGUCUUCAUGGGGAAGAUUCACACUUUCCCCUUGUAUAAUGCUAUUUUGGGGAAUUUUUUUUGUAUAUGCUUUUUAUUAUGUUGAGAAGGUUCUCCUCUCUUCCUAUCUGAGAGCUUUAUUCACCCAUGGGUGUUUGAAUUUUAUCAGAUGCGUUUUAUGGAUCAAUUGAGGUGAUUUUAUGAUUUUUCUUCAUUAGUCUGUUAAUAUGGUGAAUUACACUGAUUUUUAGCAUUGAAUAAGCCUUGCACACUUCAAAUAAACUCCAUUUGGUCAUAAUGUCAUAGUGUAUAGUUUGGUCAUAAUGUAUAAUUCUUUUUAUAUGUUUCUGAAUUCUAGUUUCUAAUAUUUUAUUAAGGAUUGGUAUAUCUAUAUUUUUGAAUGUAGUUUUCUUUUAAAUUUUGACAUCUCUGUGUUCCUUGAUAGUAUAUAGAAAUAAAAUAAUAC
ensembl:lncRNA